ACGCACGCUGGCGGCGUGCUUAACACAUGCAAGUCGAACGGAAAGGCCCUGCUUUUGUGGGGUGCUCGAGUGGCGAACGGGUGAGUAACACGUGAGUAACCUGCCCUUGACUUUGGGAUAACUUCAGGAAACUGGGGCUAAUACCGGAUAGGAGCUCCUGCCGCAUGGUGGGGGUUGGAAAGUUUCGGCGGUUGGGGAUGGACUCGCGGCUUAUCAGCUUGUUGGUGGGGUAGUGGCUUACCAAGGCUUUGACGGGUAGCCGGCCUGAGAGGGUGACCGGCCACAUUGGGACUGAGAUACGGCCCAGACUCCUACGGGAGGCAGCAGUGGGGAAUAUUGCACAAUGGGCGGAAGCCUGAUGCAGCAACGCCGCGUGCGGGAUGACGGCCUUCGGGUUGUAAACCGCUUUCGCCUGUGACGAAGCGUGAGUGACGGUAAUGGGUAAAGAAGCACCGGCUAACUACGUG
rnacentral:rRNA from 1 species